CCCUUAGAUGUUCGGGGCCGCACGCGCGCUACACUGAAGGAAUCAGCACGUCUUUCUCCUUGUCCGAAAGGACUGGGUAACCCGCUGAACCUCCUUCGUGCUAGGGAUUGGGGCUUGUAAUUCUUCCCCAUGAACGAGGAAUUCCCAGUAAGCGCGAGUCAUAAGCUCGCGUUGAUUACGUCCCUGCCCUUUGUACACACCGCCCGUCGCUACUACCGAUUGGAUGGUUUAGUGAGAUCCUCGGAUUGGUCCCGGAGCGGCCUCUGGUCGUGCCGGAGUGCCGAAAAGAAUGUCGAACUUGAUCAUCUAGAGGAAGUAAAAGUCGUAACAA
rnacentral:rRNA from 1 species